UUAAAAUAUAAAAUAUGUUGAUAUUAUAUAUUAGCAUACAUAUAUUUUAUGCAUAUCUUCAUUUCUAAGGCUUUUCUGUGUCAUCUGCAGCUCUUGCAAAACUCCCCCCAAAUUCAACAUUAAUUUUUUAUGUUGACUUGUCCAUGUAUCUAAACCACAAUGGGGAAAGUUGAAGUGUGGAAGGGAUGCCUAUACAAAGCCAAGAAAGCCUCCAUACACAUGUUUCACUCACCUUCAUGCUCUCUCCACAACCUUUGGUCCUAGACUGGGUUCUAUCAUCAGGAAAGACUCAGCUUACUCUCUGCUUCAGUUGUGUCACUCCACUCCUAACCACCUUGUCCUUUCUCUCAUGAUAAACAGUUUUAUUAGGAUUGACUCACUUUUUUAACUACUGUGCAGUUCACAAUUUUGCUUUCUGUCAGAGUCAAACUACAUCUGCAAUCAGAUUUGCCUUUUAUAUUUUCUCUUCUUUUGCAGCUUUUAAAUAUUUUGGAAAAGGAAAAGUUCAAAUGCAGUAGUAUCCUGAUAGAGAAAUAUCUUGAAUUUCACAAUGGGGCCAGUUUUGGUAUCCAGAAGAGAAGAAUGGUUUGAGAGAGAUGGCUCUGGCUCUUUUGGCAGAGAGGUGACUGGUGACAGGGUGCUGGAUGUCUCAGCAACUUGGUGUGGCUGCAACUAUUGUCCAGGUUUGGUGGUGAGCAUCCUUGAUAAAAUACUAGAAUAAAUUUAGUAGUGUAGUUCAGGUGAGGUGUUUUCCCUGAGCUCUUUCAGAGUUUAGGCUGAUUCCUUUUUUUUUUCCCUUUACCUUUCCUAAAAAUGCCAUUCUCCUAGGAGGCCCCUCAUCUCGGAGGAGGCUUUGUGGCUGGAAGGUCUCUGAAAUUGGCUCAGACUAGGUCAGAGAAAUCUUAUACUCUUUUCCCUCUCCUUAAUUCCUUCCCUCUAUAUUAAUUAAAUCACCAUAAAUUUCCCAAACUGACUUGAGUAUUUUUAUUGGGAUUUGAAUUAAUCCCUGGUAACCAACUAAAUUUAUAUUUCAGUCAAAAACCCCUAAAUAUUUCAGUCAAAACCCCU
rnacentral:lncRNA from 1 species